UACAGAGGUGGCAAGCGUUGUUCGGAAUUACUGGGCGUAAAGGGCGCGUAGGCGGCCAUCUAAGUCAGACGUGAAAUCCCCCGGCUUAACCUGGGAACUGCGUCUGAUACUGGACGGCUUGAGUGCGGGAGAGGGAUGUGGAAUUCCAGGUGUAGCGGUGAAAUGCGUAGAUAUCUGGAGGAACAUCAGUGGCGAAGGCGGCUACCUGGCCCAAUACUGACACUCAGGUGCGACAGCGUGGGGAGCAAACAGG
rnacentral:rRNA from 1 species